AUGACCUCGGUAGAUCUGCAAUCUUUAAGAUUAAGGUUCCAGAAUCAAUCUAUGAAUGUUCUUCAUUUUUCAAUUCAGUUUUUGCCAUAUAUUUGCUUCGUUUUUUGAAAUCAAUAUAUGAAUAUUAGGGUUUCCGAAACAAUCUAUGAAUAUUGGGGUUUUUUGAAAUCAACAUAUGAAUAUUAGAGUUUUCGAAAUCAAUAUAUGAAUAUCAGCCGUUCAAUGUCUUUACAUUAUAUGAAAUCUCUGGUAUAAAUAGUUGUAUUUUGUUUCUAUAUGCAUCCGUUUAAGGAUACAACAAAAUGUAGGUCUCGUGGUGGUAGCACUUCAAACCGUGGUGCCAGAAGUGGUACAGGUCGUUAUGCUGGCCGUGGUUCUAGAUGGGGAACCUUUACCAAUAUUCACAUUGUUAAUAAGCUAUUAAACGGGGAGUCAUGAAAAAUGAAGGAUACUCAUUUGCAGAUAAAAGAUCAGUUGAUAAGGGCCAAAGCUUACUUGAGUUUUGCAGCUGAUAAGGUAAUUAUAAUGGGAUCGCAUUGUUGGGAUUUUUUUUCAACUGGAUAUGGAUGGAUCGAGCUCCUUCAUUCCUUCAUGGAUAUUAUACCCCUCGAAUUACUAUUCUUUUAUUGGCUUUUUUUCUUCCAGUUUUAUAACCUUAAUAUAUGCUUCCGUUUUUUUCGCUUUAUGAGCUUUAAAUUACUGUCAUGUAUAAUUUGGGAUAAGAAAGUUUUGAUUUUUUUUUUUGUUGUGAAAGUGGUUUAAUUUUGAGUUCAAGAUUUGUGGGUUUUUGUUUGCAAUGAGAAUUAGGUUCUUCAUUGACUGCAUAUGACAUAGAAAGGUAGAAUCUUGAUUGUCGUUAGACGGGUGUUUGGAUUUAGUUUGAUUGAUAAUUUGUGUUUGAUUUUUGAAAAGAUUACAGGAGGCUGAUGAAAAUCAAAGAGUGGUUUGAUAGUAUAAAAUAAGUUGAGUGGGAGUUUGAGGAAGAUAAUGAUGAAAUGCUUUUAGUUUUGGGGAACAACUAGAAGGAAUGAGAUAAAAGCUUUUUUGGAAUUUUUAGCGACUCAGGACUCUUCGACUAGCGGUAGGGGUGUGCAAUAAUCGAACCGUUAACCGAAACCAAACCGAAAACCGACAAAACCGAACCGAAAUUAACCGUUGUUUCAGUUAAGUUCACAGUUAAUCGUUGUUUCAGGACGACCAGAAUGCUAUAAACUCACUUUUGGUCGUGCGAAGGGAAACAACUUCAGGCUUGAGUACCAGCCUUCUUAAUACCUCACCACCAAAAUGACUCGGUUCAAGGGAAAUGGUAAGCCAUCAAAGACAAAAGGUAUGUGAUGCCCCAAUCUCUCAUCAUGUCGUAGGUUGCUGUCUUAGUUUGGGGAAGACACUAAUUAUUAACACCUUGCUG
rnacentral:lncRNA from 1 species